rnacentral:rRNA from 1 species
CUCGUAGUUGGAUUUGUGGCGUACGGUGUGUUCCGGGCACUUGUUGUCUGAGUAACCUGCCGUUGCCAUCCUUGGGUGGAACCUGUGUGGCAUUAGGUUGUCGUGCAGGGGAUGCCCAUCAUUUACUGUGAAAAAAUUAGAGUGUUCAAAGCAGGCUUAUGCCGUUGAAUAUAUUAGCAUGGAAUAAUAAGAUAGGACUUGUUUGCUAUUUUGUUGGUUUGCGCAAAUAGGUAAUGAUUAAUAGGGACAGUUGGGGGUAUUCGUAUUCCAUUGUCAGAGGUGAAAUUCUUGGAUUUUUG